GCCGGGUGUGGUGGAGCAAGCCUGUGAUCCCAGCAACUCAGGAGGCUGAGGCAGGAGGAUCACAAGUUCAAGGCCAGCCUUAGCAACUUAGUGAGAGCCUGUCCCAA
rnacentral:sRNA from 1 species